AGAUAGCGUCAUUGUCAGUCCGUAUGGUUUUUUUUUCCUGUUUUGAAAAGGGUUGUUUUGAUCCAUUUUAAAUCUGCGCUUCAAUUUUAGAAUUGAGCAUUGAGUUGGACUGUUGUUUUGCUUAAGACUGGCAGGCUGCUGUGUAUUCUUAAUGCCUGGUAAGGGUCGAUCGGUACAUUUUACGAAGCCAACUGUGAGGGUAAGCUAAGACCACAGUCCUGAGGUCUGCCCUGUUCUGGGGCCUUGCGUAAUGAGACCUGAUUACCGUUAAGGACCUGAUUGCCCAGGGAGCGGUGCAGAAGUGAGGGAGAACCUGGCCUGGAAUCCAUCCCGAGCCACCCCUUCCCUCAUUCCAGGACUGCAGUUCCUAGUUGGAAGAACCGUGUUCGCGCAGCGUUUGGGGAACUCGAGCCGUGUUAGAAGACAACACAAGACCAACCUGCACGUUGUGGGUAUACAGACCAGAAUUGCUUCUGCUAUAGAGAACACUUUAAGAAAGGAAGCCUUCCCAAGAUCUCUGCCUCCCAUCCAUAAAAUACUCACUCAUCAUUCAGGUAAGUGUAUUGCUUUGCUUCGAUCUAUUCUGAGCAAGUGUAUUGAUUCUCUCUGAAAACCUGAGUCAUUAUAUUAAGACAAGAAGCCUGAGGUUACAGAUAUUUUGCUAUCUGGAAAGAAAAAGUUCCUCAACUUCAAGGUCCUUUCCAGGACCAACAUACUGUGAAGGAUUUGCUUUGGAGGGGUUUCACUGAUACCCCUUCUGUAUAUCUGCCAGUAGUGACGGUUUGUUAAACACUGUAAUAUCUAUCGGUAAUCUGCCGGGUAUUCCGAAGGCCCUUUUUAUGUGUGUGAUUUGAAUACACUUCACAGAUGGACAUCCUAAACCUGAAGAAGUGCAGUGUGAAGUCUGUGGUUGGGGAAUGAGAAGCUGGGGUAGCGUCAGCAGCACGGAAGCAGUUUCUUUGCAGAUGGCCCCCGAGAGUGUAGACCCUGAACCCUGGCCCGAGGAUUAAGACUGAUAGGACUGUACAGGGCAGUAGACCUGGAAAUAUGUGGGGUGUUUCUGCCCACGUCUGGCCAGGCUGAAGGUCACAUCUGGUUUCC
rnacentral:lncRNA from 1 species